AUUGAACGCUGGCGGCAGGCCUAACACAUGCAAGUCGAACGAGUGGCGGACGGGUGAGUAAUGUCUGGGAAACUGCCUGAUGGAGGGGGAUAACUACUGGAAACGGUAGCUAAUACCGCAUACCAUCAGAUGUGCCCAGAUGGGUUUAGCAUGUUGGUGGGGUAACGGCUCACCAAGGCUAAGAUCCCUAGCUGGUCUUAGAGGAUGACCAGCAAAACGGGACUUGAGAUACGGUCCGGACUCCUACGGGAGGCAGCAGUGGGGAAUAUUGCACAAUGGGCGAAAUCCUGAUGCAGCCAUGCCGCGUGUAUGAAGAGGGCCUUCGGGUUUUAAAGUACUUUCAGCGGGGAGGCGUUACCCGCAGAAGAAGCACCGGCUAACUCCGUGCCAGCAGCCGCGGUAAUAC
rnacentral:rRNA from 1 species